rnacentral:lncRNA from 1 species
GGGACAUGGGUCCAGGGACUCAAAAAUGGAACCGGAGAGGAGAAGAGAACAAAGAAAGUGUUGGAAGAGGAGCCUGGGACGAAAGACAUUUCUACAGGAGACACUGCUAAGCAAGUUACCCAUCAGUCAUCUCGGGCAAUAAGUUGAGGGUUCCUCAUUUUAACAGCUGGUCCUCGCACAAGUGACCUUUCUCUCUACCCAGUGCCUGGAUGAGAGGCAGAGUCACAAGUGUUGAAGUGUGAGUGCCUUCUAUUUACUUCCAGUCCGUGUGUUCUUGCUGUGGGCAUGUGGUUAUGACUAGUGACAUAAUAGGCGUUAAAAUGCAGUCACCAAACUCAACUGCUGCUUAGCAUCCUCUGUAACUACUGGCACAAGCAGGAAACGUGGAGGUCACAUGGUUCGUUUGACGGGCUCUUGCUGUCCGACUUGAGUAAUCUUCAUUCUCAGGCCUCAAGGUUCUGCAGUAGUAGUUGUUCUCUUUAAAUAUCUGCUUUACAAGUGUUGGGUACUAUACUCAAACAUCUUAUUUCAUCACCAUGGCAACCCUCAUACUAACCUCUGUCAUACUCCCUUCAUAGCCAAGACGCUGAGUGUCUGAGUAACUUGACCACAAAAUGACAGCUAUCAGAUUUCUAUUUUUCAGACACUGUCCUUUCAGGAUAGAAUUUGUAGCUAAGAAUUUAAUAAUAAAAAAAAAACCCCGCUUAUUAGGCACUUCCACACCACACCAUGCCUUGUGCACUGCUCUGGCCUCUGACAGAGAAGGAAGCCAGAGUGCCGGUCGGAUUUGCUUAUGUGUGUUCAAUACUCAAAUCAAUGCUCAUUAACAUGGAGUCUGCAUUUUAAAGACACUCUCCAGUUCUUUGUCUAGCAUUAUAUUUACCUCUAAUCUGUUAUCCCUGCCAAACAAUCUCAUGUUCUCCAUGAAGUGUCUAGUCUUGUUGAGUAGUUCUUUUUUUUUUUUUUCUAUUUAAAUGAUAUUGACAUCUGAGGAGACAGCUCAGUUGGUAGAAUUCUUUCCUUACAAGUGGGAAACCCUGUUUUAUCCCCAGAACCCACAUAAAAAACAGUUGCGUAUAUCUGUGCAUGCUUAAUCCAAGCACUAGGGAGGCAGAGACAGGCAGAUCUCUAGCUCUCACCGAUCAGCCAGCUCCAGGUCUACAAGAGCUGACAGUGCCUGAGAAACAUGUCUACACACACACACAUACACACUCUCACAUACAUGGACCAUGUACUCAUACACCUAAGUGGACUCUCUUAGUGAACACACAUACAAUGGUCCCCAAGACAAAACAAAACAAAAAAAAAAUAAACCAAACUAGCUCUAUUCCAUCAGCCUAGCCAUGCUACUCCCUUCCCAGAAGCAACUGCUAUUGUUUUUGCACAUAUAUUUUCUUAAAGACAGUUAAUAUGUAUAAAUCUUUGUUAAAGUAUGUCUGUCUGUCUGCCUGCCUGCCUACCUAUCUACCUAUCUAUCUAUCCAUCCAUCCAUCCAUCCAUCCACCCAUCUGUCCAUCCGUCUGUCUGUCCAUCUGUCUGUCUAUCUACCUAUCUACCUACCUACAUACCUAUCAUCUGUCUGUCUGUCUUUCCUAAAUGGUAUAGGAAAACUGUACGUUUUCUAUGCACUUUGCCCUUUUCAUUUAGUGUAUUGAUACUUAUGCUGCUUCCAGACUGAUCUAAAGAUCCAUAAAGAGAACUGCCUCAUUUCUAGGUUUUCUUUCCCAUCCCUCUAGGCACCUCUCACACUGUCUAGGCCAGACACUUGCUGCCUGUAUCUGUAGACAUCAUUUAUAAAGUGUGUACUCACCGAGUUUGUGUCUACUCAAAGGGAGGCCAUGGGUCCCCAGGGUCACUGAGUCAACCCAGUACCAAGGUGGAGCCUUGUAUCUCCAUGGCAGAAGCAAAUCUGGGGCCAUUUCUGUUUCUUCCUUGACUUCUUUUCUAAAACACAGAUGCUCUAAUUACUUAUUACAGGUUGUCCCUGGUAAUGUCAGCAUUGCUCCUAGACUUCUGGGUGCCCUGGAAAAGCCCGUUAGCUCUGUGUGAACCCUUAAGGCAGCUGUCUCUCCUUACCUCAUAGACACUGUUUCCUGGAGGGUUUGAGAUACUGUUUCCAAAAGGUGUUCACUUGGGCGAGGAGGGGAGGGGGAGCCCAGAACUUUGUUACUAUUUUCUUUGUUUUGUCACAUGUCAAGGCUGAAGAAAGAGCCUGGGUAUGUUGGCGCAUGUCUCCAGUUGCAGGCAGAGGCAGGUGGAUCUCUGUGAGUUUGUGGCCAGCCUGGUCUCCAUAGUGAAUUCUAAGCCAGCCAGGGCUCGGUUACAUAGUGAGAUCCCGUCUCAAAGGAAAGACUGGCCUAUCAGAACCCCCAGUGAAACCCCUUCUGUUACUUGUUCACACAUGUUUGUUGAUGAUUCUCGUGUUAAUGUCUUGUUUGUAUGACGUUCAAGAAAAGAUCUGGUUGGGCAACACAUUGUAUUUAUUCAUCUUAUUCAAAAUCUUAAUGCCAUCUCAUGGCAUUGGAUUGGUAUGGCACUUUAUUCUUUUGUGUUCUGUAUAACCACAAAUGGAAAUUUUAUUUUGUGUCUGAUUGUCAUUGUAUUGCAUUAAUUUAAUAAGAUAUUAUUUAUUAAAAACAUUUGAUUUUUUUCUUUUUU